ACCAGCCUCCUGUUCCUGGCAAGACUUUGGGAAACUGCGUUAGCAGGGCCUCAGGAGCACGUUUACCCUGGGGUGUGGGGGUCAGCCUUGGUCUCUUGCUGUGUGGCCCGAUCAGCAGGCCCUGUUUCCGCCUGAGGGAAGCUACCAGGAGAGAGAAGCCCUCUAGUGCCCGGCUGACAAGACCUUAGUCAUGUCUGCUGUGCCUUCACUUCUGUUGCUGUCUCCAUGUCACUACCGGAGCCCUGUGGAGUGGGGUGGAGUUCAGGACGGAUGCUUGAGAAGGUAUUGGGCCUUGGGAAACUGCUGCAAAAAUUAUACACUGGCUACUGCAAUUACUUGGCUUGCAGAAGUAAUAUACAUCUUUUCAAGGGUUCAGAAAGACUCCAAAGACUUGGGGCUUCAAAAUCUAACAGACCACUCUUGGACCAUGGAGCAAGCCUGGAGCAUCUGAGAAAGAAUGUUUAUGAUUUUCUCAUGGAUUAACUGUAAAACACUUUAGCCAGAUUAGAAUGAAUAUCUGUGAUUGAAAUACUCAACAUGAAAUAAAAAUGACAGCAACUAGAACCACACAUGGUUUAUUGGUAGGGAUCUACAAGAUACAGUUUAGAUAUGCAAAAUUGGAUUCAAGAAAAUUGGGGCUGUUCAAAAUGAUGGCAAAGGGAAACUUCCU